rnacentral:rRNA from 1 species
AUUGAACGCUGGCGGCAGGCCUCACACAUGCAAGUCGAACGAGUGGCGGACGGGUGCGUAAUGUCUGGGCAACUGCCUGAUGGAGGGGGAUAACUACUGGAAACGGUAGCUACUACCGCAUAACAUCAGAUGUGCCCAGAUGGGCGUAGCUAGUUGGUGGGGUAACGGCGCACCAAGGCGACGAUCCCUAGCUGGUCUGAGAGUAUGACCAGCCACACGGGAACUGAGACACGGUCCAGACUCCUACGGUAGGCAGCAGUGGGGAAUAUUGCACAAUGGGCGCAAGCCGGAUGCAGCCAUGCCGCGUGUAUGAAGAAGGCCUUCGGGUUGUAAAGUACUUUCAGCGGGGAGGCGUUACCCGCAGAAGAAGCACCGGCUAACUCCGUGCCAGCAGCCGCGGUAAUUC